rnacentral:rRNA from 1 species
GACAGUUCGGUCCCUAUCCGUCGUGGGCGUAGGAAAUUUGAGAGGAGCUGUCCUUAGUACGAGAGGACCGGGAUGGACAUACCUCUGGUGUACCAGUUGUCGUGCCAACGGCAUAGCUGGGUAGCUAUGUAUGGACGGGAUAAGUGCUGAAAGCAUCUAAGCAUGAAGCCCCCCUCAAGAUGAGAUUUCCCAACUUCGGUUAUAAGAUCCCUCGAAGAUGACGAGGUUAAUAGGUUCGAGGUGGAAGCGUGGUGACACGUGGAGCUGACGAAUACUAAUCGAUCGAAGACUUAAUCAAUAUU